ACGCUCGACACCUACAGGAGGCAGCAGUGGGGAAUAUUGCACAAUGGGGGAAACCCUGAUGCAGCGACGCCGCGUGAAGGAAGAAGUAUUUCGGUAUGUAAACUUCUAUCAGCAGGGAAGAAACUGACGGUACCUGACUAAGAAGCACCGGCUAAAUACGUGCCAGCAGCCGCGGUAAUCUGAGGCGGCUGGCAAGGC
rnacentral:rRNA from 1 species